CUGUUGAAAUACCAGGUCACAUAUUAACCCCGUUUUCACAGCUAAGCUGAAGAAGAAUCAGCUAAGAAAAGUGACGUCUGGAUUACCGCGUGUAUGUACAAGGGAUGUGAUUGUAUGUGUGCGACGCUAGUUUCAAAUGUUUACGAUCAGAAUGAUGCGAAACAACAAGAAGGGAAUUAAGUUAACAUUUUCCGUAAAUUUAAGAUAAAAUCAUUGUUCAGUGAUUUGUGAUCACAUAAAUUAUUCAUCGCGCAAUAUCUGUACUAUUACAAUCUAAUGUUCGUGGCUCAUUUUACCAUCUGGAAAGUGGUGCCUCCUAGACUAGACCGUAUAUAUCAAACCCAAUUCGAUGAAAUUGAAUAAACGCGCCAACAGUGAGUUUGGUCACCCGUCCUAAUUAUAUGUAGCCAUUUGGUUGUGGUUUCCGUGUCGGAUGGUGGCAUAUGAUUCUCGUACACAUGGCGGAAGCAAAAUCACUUGUUAUGAUUCUAUUA